CAGUAGCCGCGGUAAUACAGAGGAUGCAAGCGUUAUCCGGAAUGAUUGGGCGUAAAGCGUCUGUAGGUGGCUUUUCAAGUCCGCCGUCAAAUCCCAGGGCUCAACCUGGGAAUGGCAGUGGAUACUGGCUCGCUAGAGUGUGUCAGAGGAUGGUGGAAUUCCCGGUGUAGCGGUGAAAUGCGUAGAGAUCGGGAGGAACAUCAGUGGCGAAGGCGGCCAUCUGGGACAACACUGACGCUGAGGCACGAAAGCGUGGGGAGCAAACAGGAUUAGAGACCCCAGUAGUCCCUGUCUCUUAUAC
rnacentral:rRNA from 1 species